rnacentral:rRNA from 1 species
UACGUAGGUGGCAAGCGUUGUCCGGAAUUACUGGGCGUAAAGAGCGCGUAGGCGGGAAUUCAAGUCAGGAGUGUAAUCUGUCGGCUUAACCGGCAGCUUGCUUCUGAAACUGGAUUUCUUGAGGGUAUGAGAGGAAAGCGGAAUUCCUAGUGUAGCGGUGAAAUGCGUAGAUAUUAGGAGGAACACCAGUGGCGAAGGCGGCUUUCUGGCAUACAACUGACGCUGAGGCGCGAAAGCGUGGGGAGCGAACGGG